rnacentral:rRNA from 1 species
UACGUAGGGUGCGAGCGUUGUCCGGAUUUAUUGGGCGUAAAGAGCUCGUAGGCGGUUUGUCGCGUCGGCCGUGAAAUCUCCACGCUUAACGUGGAGCGUGCGGUCGAUACGGGCAGACUUGAGUUCGGUAGGGGAGACUGGAAUUCCUGGUGUAGCAGUGAAAUGCGUAGAUAUCAGGAGGAACACCGAUGGCGAAGGCAGGUCUCUGGGCUGAAACUGACGCUCAUGCACGAAAGCGUGGGGAGCAAACAGG